rnacentral:rRNA from 1 species
AUUGAACGCUGGCGGCAGGCCUAACACAUGCAAGUCGAACGGUAACAGGAAGAAGCUUGCUUCUUUGCUGACGAGAGGCGGACGGGUGAGUAAUGUCUGGGAAACUGCCUGAUGGAGGGGGAUAACUACUGGAAACGGUAGCUAAUACCGCAUAACGUCGCAAGACCAAAGAGGGGGACCUUCGGGCCUCUUGCCAUCGGAUGUGCCCAGAUGGGAUUAGCUAGUAGGUGGGGUAACGGCUCACCUAGGCGACGAUCCCUAGCUGGUCUGAGAGGAUGACCAGCCACACUGGAACUGAGACACGGUCCAGACUCCUACGGGAGGCAGCAGUGGGGAAUAUUGCACAAUGGGCGCAAGCCUGAUGCAGCCAUGCCGCGUGUAUGAAGAAGACCUUCGGGUUGUAAAGUACUUUCAGCGGGGAGGAAGGGAGUAAAGUUAAUACCUUUGCUCAUUGACGUUACCCGCAGAAGAAGCACCGGCUAACUCCGUG